CACAUGCAAGUCGAACGCGAAAGCACUUCGGUGUGAGUAGAGUGGCGGACGGGUGAGUAACGCGUGGGAAUCUACCUAGUAGUGGAGGAUGACUCGGGGAAACUCGAGCUAAUACUGCAUACGCCCUACGGGGGAAAGCGGGGGAUCUUCGGACCUCGCGCUAUUGGAUGAGCCCGCGUUAGAUUAGCUUGUUGGUGAGGUAAUGGCUCACCAAGGCGACGAUCUAUAGCUGGUCUGAGAGGAUGAUCAGCCACAUUGGGACUGAGACACGGCCCAAACUCCUACGGGAGGCAGCAGUGGGGAAUAUUGCGCAAUGGGCGAAAGCCUGACGCAGCCAUGCCGCGUGUGUGAAGAAGGCCUUCGGGUUGUAAAGCACUUUCAAUAGGGAGGAAAGGUUGUAGCUUAAUACGUUGCAACUGUGACGUUACCUAUAGAAGAAGCACCGGCUAACUCCGUGCCAGCAGCCGCGGUAAUACGGAGGGUGCGAGCGUUAAUCGGAAUUACUGGGCGUAAAGCGCGCGUAGGCGGCUUCGUCAGUCAGAUGUGAAAGCCCCGGGCUCAACCUGGGAACUGCAUUUGAUACUGCGGAGCUAGAGUAUGGUAGAGGAUAGUGGAAUUCCAGGUGUAGCGGUGAAAUGCGUAGAUAUCUGGAGGAACAUCAGUGGCGAAGGCGACUGUCUGGACCAAUACUGACGCUGAGGUGCGAAAGCGUGGGGAGCAAACAGGAUUAGAUACCCUGGUAGUCCACGCCGUAAACGAUGUCUACUAGCCGUUGGGGAACUUGAUUCUUUAGUGGCGCAGCUAACGCACUAAGUAGACCGCCUGGGGAGUACGGCCGCAAGGUUAAAACUCAAAUGAAUUGACGGGGGCCCGCACAAGCGUUGAGC
rnacentral:rRNA from 1 species